AUACGGAGGAUCCGAGCGUUAUCCGGAUUUAUUGGGUUUAAAGGGUGCGCAGGCGGGAGAUUAAGUCGGCGGUGAAAUCCUGCCGCUUAACUGGAGAAUUGCCGUUGAUACUGUUAGUCUUUAGUACACUUUAGGUAGGCGGAAUUUGGUGUGUAGCGGUGAAAUGCAUAGAUAUACCACAGAACACCGAUUGCGAAGGCAGCUUACUAAACUGUAACUGACGCUGAGGCACGAAAGCGUGGGUAUCAAACAGGAUUAGAUACCCUGGUAGUCCACGCUGUAAACGAUGAUUACUGGUUGUUUGCGAUACACCGCAAGUGACUGAGCGAAAGCAUUAAGUAAUCCACCUGGGGAGUACGUCGGCAACGAUGAAACUCAAAGGAAUUGACGGGG
rnacentral:rRNA from 1 species